AACCUUAUCAGGGCAGGAUUCAGGAUUCCCGCAGCCUGGUACUCUGUUCUGCUUUGAAGCAGGCUAUUUUGGAAAGUUUUCGCUGGGAUUUAGGGCGAUUGAGGAAAUGCGCAGGCGCUUAGACGGUUUCCAAUCCACCCCGCUGACCACGCAGGACGCAGCCCGGAUUCUCCGAAAACCACUCUGGCCCGUGACCCCCUGCUCUCCGGGGCAAGCUGACUCUUAACCCAGAGGCGGCAGUGUCUCCGGAUCCCCCAUCCUGGGCUGAGGUCGCCGGAGGCUAGGGUCUGAGAUCCCCCGGGAAAGAAGCUCGAUGGGCUGGUUCAUUAGGGACCCAGCUUGGCGGCAGAUGACGAAACCGGGAAGGGCUUCCGCCUUCAGAAAGCGCAUCCCGUAAAUGAGAUGGCCCAGCGGGAUGGCAAGGGCACACGUUCGGGGAGAUUUGAGACGCUCUUGCAGAUCAUUCCAGCUCCGGAGUGCAGUGGCGGAGCUGGGAGAAAUCGGUCAGACCCCAGCUUCGGAGGCGAUCCCUGGGUUUGGAUCACACUUCGCAGAAGAAACUCACCGCCCGACCUUGGGAGCCUCUGCCCGACCGGAAAAUGGAGUUUCCGGAGCCCACCUCUAAACCGGGUGUGGCACAAAGCAAACGGACGAAAGCGCUAGUCUUAGUAGGCGUCAGGUUCCAGUCUCCUCACCUCAGUCUUCGCACCACCGUUUUCCGCUCCCUUCCGACUUGUUCCCAGGGUCACCGGAGCCCCUCACCCGGAAAGAGCCCUCGGAAAGGUAUCAUCAAUGGCUACUUGGUUUCUUUGUGCAACAGAAAGCAGAGUUUGAUUCUUCCCCGCUUCCUCUACCCAUUACCAAUUUAUUUUCAUGGUGAUGCCUCAAAACCCAAGCCUGACCCCCGUUCCGUAGCCAGUGGAAAGGCAGACUGCAAAGCAAAGGGCACUUGAAUGGACUACC
ensembl:lncRNA